ACCGGGAACCCCCUUCAGACAUUAGGGCUCAUACAGAGAGCGGUCAUGGUAGCAGUGUUGAGGAGCCCCCCACCUCACCCCACCCCACAUGACCACUGCCCACCCCCUACCCAGAUCUCACCACUCAGCGCUGCCAGCAUCAUCCCAGCCAGCCGGCAGCCAGACGCGGGGCCGAGGCCAGCACAGACAGCAACAUAGGAGCCACCGAGGACCAAGGCCACAGAGAUAGCAGCACACAGACUGAACCAAAGGACAGAGCAUACACUGUAACCAAUAGGUGAGUAUCACAUGAUGUCAGCUCCGUUAUCUCAGCCCAAUUAUCUGCCUAAACCUCCUCAGGGGUCAGACAUUAUGGCUGUGAUUGACAACUGAUGUAACCUCUCAGAAAUGAAAGAGAAGACUUAAUGGUCCUUCUGUGGCUCAGUUGGUAGAGCAUGGCGCUUGUAACGCCAGGGUAGUGGGUUCGAUUCCUGGUACCACCCAUACGUAGAAUGUAUGCACACAUGACUGUAAGUCGCUUUGGAUAAAAGCGUCAGCUAAAUGGCAUAUAUUAUUAUUAUAUUAUUAAUUUUUUUCAUGUAGGCUACAGUCUGGUGUAUCUGUGUGAGUGGCCCUUAUGCAAUCCCCCAGACCUGUGCAACAAUUGUGUGAUUACACCAUCCCUCUUCCUGGGAUUGAGGGUCAAAACUGAGCACUCAGUCACAGGUGUUUAUAUGAGCUCAGCAUAGUGUCUGGUUGCUGAGUAAUGUUCUGCGGUGUCCAUGUCCACACACUGAAACGUGCCAGAUAGAAACACUGUUCAGGGGCACAGUCAGCCCGCCAUUCUAAAUCGGCCGAAAGUCAGACACAGAGGGGAACGCUGUGUAUCAGAUGAUAUCAGAUAUCAGAUCCAAGAAAACUUGUCCGAAACCUUACUGUCACCAGUGACCCACAACAACACCACUUCCUCCUGACAAAACGAGCUGAUGGCGUCUUCUUUACUCUGAUUCAAUUGUGUGUUUAGCUAUUUUUUACCAGCCAAGCACAAACAUGAAAUAAUUACUGUAUAUAAACCAGAUGAAGUGUCAGCACUCCAUGGGAGUUUCCUCCUCCUUCUCUUCCAUCUCCUUCCUCUUCCUCCUCCUUCUCAUCCUCCCUCCUUCACCUCCUCCUCAAGCCUCCUUGUGGUGCCUGAGGCCUGAUGUGGGUAGGCAGGAGGCUCCAGUAAUCCUGUCUUUGUGGGCCAGGCAAGUUACACGCUCAGGAAGCAGGCAGGGCACUGUGCCCUGCCUUCCUGCCUGGAUUCUGUGGUGUUGUGACACCCAGACACCCAGAGACCUGGUCACCCUGACACCUACACACAUCUAGUCCAUUCACCAGCACCUAGCAUAGACAUAUCACACCUCUCCAGUGAGGGAUCCUCUCACAUAUUAUUAGGGUAUCAGUUCAAAAGUUAUUAGAAUGUUAUAAUGUUCUAUCAAGUUAACUGAUUAUUUCAUCUAAUGUAUAUGAGUACACCAGUUUAAUGAUCAAAUAAUUAAGAAUCAACUGGGAAAUGGUGCCCACAAACUUUAUGUGAGAAAGGAGUGAGAGCAAGGCUAACGGUAUGUGGAAUGAGUUAGAUCAUUUUUUAAAAUGGAAGCUCCAGUACAGUAGCAGUGAUCUAGGGAGAGAUUUCAUAGCCACAGGGAUGAGAGCCAAGGCUGAUGGUGGAAUCCUGGGUGUAAUGUGAAGAGUAGAGGAAGUAUACUGAGAGCAGAGGGAGAGAGUGAGCUCCUGGGUUGUUUCCCAAUUGGCACCCUGUUCCCUAUAUAGUGCACUACUUUUGACCAAAAGUAGUGCACUCUACGGGGAAUAGGGUACCAUUUGGGACUUAAUUGUUUGUUUGCUCUGCGGCUGGGUGUCCUGCAGUUAGGGAUUUAGUUUGGGCGAUGCUCCUGGCACCCUACCCCCUCUGUGGUCGCUGUGAGAAAAACGUGCUGGAACAGGAGAACGGCCCACACCCCUGCUGUCAUGAUGGCAGCAUCUCUCUCAACAGCGUGCUGCUGAUUAAAACUCUGUGGCCACAAUCCAACAUGGCUGAAGCUCCUCAAAAAUCAGUGCCAAACGCAUUUCAAAACACCCCAAGUACUCCAAUCCCCAUGUAGGGAUUAGGGGUGUGGGAAUUUGGGAAUGUCAGUGGGAUUGCAGGGAUUAGGGUUGUGGGAACAGGGAGGAAUGUCAGUGGGAGUUGAGGGCACAGGGACAGGAAGGAGCAACAUUUAAAUAUGCAGGCAGGCAGGGGUCAAAGUCAUUUCCUGUUCUCCAACAUAACGUUUACAGCCCGCACAUUCCCCCAAUAUACAGUAAGCCUCAGUCUUUAUGGUACCUCCCUCUUACAGUUUGAUACUGGAAUGGGACUGCACAGACAACUGUCACAAUGUACUUAUGUGUGGAUCAUGCUGUUUCGUUGAGCGCUCUAAAGAAUCCUCCAUUGCUCUUCUUACCCACAGGUCAGUCUGCACUGGGAUCUUAGGACCUCUUUGGUUUCUUACCUAACUCCAACUUUCUUAGUCAGAACUAUCCUAUAGCGAUGUGAAGAGAAGACAGGUAAGGUAAAUCUGGGGGGGCCUGCCAGAACCAAGGCGUUGAUGUUUUACUGUGUAGGUCUAUUGCUUGGUCCUCAGGCCCCAGGUGCAGUGCUGCAUCUCUGGUCAAUUGGGAGUCUGAGAUGAAGCACUGUAGCUCGGGAAGGGGGGCGCAGCUACAACGGGGUGAGCAGUCUGAGUGGUGGCCCCAUGUCUAUACCUCUCUGCCUUAUUCUAGACGGUCUUCUAAUGGAGACCUAUGUUCAGGAUAUUAGGGAUGGAGGGCCCCCGUGACUGGUGCUGCCCCUCCCAGCCUCUCUCUCUCUCUCUCUCUCUCUCCCAGGUCUGGCCACAUAUCUGAGAUGCCAUAUCAUCGCUCCACCCAUGAUGUUUACCUCUGCUUCAUACAGCCGUGUGGCCCAGUAAAGACUAUAGUUGCUGGUGUGUUUUCCAUGCUUUAAUUCACCACCUCCUCCUGAGUGCAUUUGCUGCAUUUACCCUGGCCUUUUCCUCGCUCCCGGGGUCCAGUUUUCCCAGGAAUCCCUUGGGCAAUCACAAGGGGGAUUCCUGGAAAUACUGUUCUUGGGGGUGGGGCUUGACUACAUGGAUCUGGGAUAGUAAUACAAUCUGCUCGUGAUAUGUUCCACAGACAUGUGUGAUGUAAUGGAAAAUUCUAUGAACGGGGAAGGACAAUGAAGGAAGAUAGAACGAAUGCUACACUAUUUUAUAUAUUGAUGCAAGGCCUGGCCUGGAUAAAUACUCUUAUGUAUUUAAGUGUCUUUACCUUUUGAUAUGAAUUUCACUAUGUCUGAGAAUCUUUAUACACUCAUACAAUUUCAUAUUAGCUAUAAUAUAACUUUUUCAUAUCAAAUGUGCCAGGUGAAUUAAAAAAAAAAUGUUAAUAAAUGUCAACAUUUCCAACA